CGCAAAUUCAUCCAGUCAAGACACACAGCAUGGAAAACCGUCUUUGCAAAACCAGUUCUCGUGGUUGUGAUGGGCGCAACCAACGCCUUCUCUGCCCCAGGGAGGCAUGGGUCCGCCCUCCGACCUGCUAUGGGGGCGGAGGAACGGUCCCUUGCUCGAAUUAAGAGGACUAUGGAUGAUCAUGACCACAAUGAAUGACGUUCGAGAGCAUAAAGUGGAAUCCUUGUUGAUGGCAACAACGAAACCAUUGUUCAUGACACUACGGGACAACAUGGCAAUAAAGACCAUCGCCAUGAUCAGGGCCAUCAUUACAACUAUGUGCACGAGGAGGAAGCCCAUGGUCAUGGCAGCAACGAGACACAAGUUCAUGGCACUGUAGGACAUCAUGGCAAUAAAGACCAACAUCAUGAUAAGGAUCAGAAUGACUCCUACGUGCACGAGGGGAGGCCCAUGGUCACACCAGCUACAAAACCCAUGUUCAUGACACGAUAUGUGAUCAUGACGGUCAUGAUCACCGUAUUAAUGUUGGCAUGACAAUGUCAGUGUUAUAAUCCUUAUUGUGAUAAAUAAAGUUGAUGAAUCCA
rnacentral:lncRNA from 1 species